UCGGUUGUAUCUAAUCGGGAUGCAGAUGC
rnacentral:piRNA from 1 species